UACGGAGGGGGGCUAGCGUUGUCCGAAGUUACUGGGCGUAAAGCGCGCGUAGGCGGGUUGGUAAGUCCGCUGUGAAAGCCCGGAGCUCAACUCCGGAGGGUCGGUGGAUACUGCCAGUCUUGAAGGUGCUAGGGGGGAGAUGGAAUUACCGGUGUAGCGGUGAAAUGCGUAGAUAUCGGUAGGAACACCAGUGGCGAAGGCGGUCUCCUGGGGCAUUCUUGACGCUGAGGCGCGAAAGCUGGGGGAGCAAACGGG
rnacentral:rRNA from 1 species